rnacentral:rRNA from 1 species
UACGGAGGGGGCUAGCGUUGUUCGGAAUUACUGGGCGUAAAGCGUACGUAGGCGGCUUUUUAAGUCAGAGGUGAAAUCCCGGUGCUCAACACCGGAACUGCCUUUGAGACUGGAUCGCUUGAACGUCGGAGAGGUGAGUGGAAUUCCGAGUGUAGAGGUGAAAUUCGUAGAUAUUCGGAAGAACACCAGUGGCGAAGGCGGCUCACUGGACGACUGUUGACGCUGAGGUACGAAAGCGUGGGGAGCAAACAGG